rnacentral:tRNA from 1 species
GGGCACGUAGCUCAGCGGUUAGAGCAUCGAUCUUAUAAGUCGAGGGUCCCUGGUUCAAAUCCAGGCGUGCCCA